UGGGGAAUCUUGCGCAAUGGACGAAAGUCUGACGCAGCGACGCCGCGUGGGCGACGAAGGCCUUCGGGUUGUAAAGCCCUGUGGGGAGGGACGAACACUGAUUGGGCGAAUAGGCCAGUCAGCUGACGGUACCUCCUUAGCAAGCACCGGCUAACUCUGUGCCAGCAGCCGCGGUAAGACAGAGGGUGCAAACGUUGCUCGGAAUUACUGGGCGUAAAGCGCGUGUAGGUGGUCACGCAAGUCAGGUGUGAAAGCCCAGGGCUCAACCCUGGAAGUGCACAUGAUACUACGUGGCUGGAGUACUGAAGAGGAGAGCGGAAUUCCCGGUGUAGAGGUGAAAUUCGUAGAUAUCGGGAGGAACACCAGUGGCGAAGGCGGCUCUCUGGGCAGAUACUGACACUGAGACGCGAAAGCGUGGGUAGCAAACAG
rnacentral:rRNA from 1 species